ensembl:snoRNA
AUGCUUGCGUAGUUUCGUAAACAUGGAAAUUGGGUGCUCACUUGCAUGUGUGAGGCGGGCUCCCCCAACUUUGGUGUGACGUGAGCACAUGACCAGUCAGACG